UGGGGAAUAUUGCACAAUGGGCGCAAGCCUGAUGCAGCCAUGCCGCGUGUAUGAAGAAGGCCUUCGGGUUGUAAAGUACUUUCAGCGGGGAGGAAGGCGAUAAGGUUAAUAACCUUGUCGAUUGACGUUACCCGCAGAAGAAGCACCGGCUAACUCCGUGCCAGCAGCCGCGGUAAUACGGAGGGUGCAAGCGUUAAUCGGAAUUACUGGGCGUAAAGCGCACGCAGGCGGUCUGUCAAGUCGGAUGUGAAAUCCCCGGGCUCAACCUGGGAACUGCAUUCGAAACUGGCAGGCUAGAGUCUUGUAGAGGGGGGUAGAAUUCCAGGUGUAGCGGUGAAAUGCGUAGAGAUCUGGAGGAAUACCGGUGGCGAAGGCGGCCCCCUGGACAAAGACUGACGCUCAGGUGCGAAAGCGUGGGUAGCAAACA
rnacentral:rRNA from 1 species